UACGGAGGGUGCGAGCGUUGUUCGGAAUCACUGGGCGUAAAGGGCGCGCAGGCGGUUUGGCAAGUCAGAUGUGAAAUCCCACGGCUUAACUGUGGAAGUGCAUUUGAAACUGCCAGGCUUGAGUACCAGAGGGGAAAGUGGAAUUCCCGGUGUAGAGGUGAAAUUCGUAGAUAUCGGGAGGAAUACCGGUGGCGAAGGCGACUUUCUGGCUGGAUACUGACGCUGAGGCGCGAAAGCGUGGGGAGCAAACAGGAUUAGAUACCCUGGUAGUCCACGCCGUAAACGAUGUGAACUAGAUGUAGGGGGUGUUGAUCCCCUCUGUGUCGCAGCUAACGCAUUAAGUUCACCGCCUGGGGAGUACGGUCGCAAGAUUAAA
rnacentral:rRNA from 1 species